AGAGUUUGAUAAUGGCUCAGGAUGAACGCUAGCGGCAGGCCUAAUCCAUGCAAGUCGAACGGGAUUGGAGAGCUUGCUUUCCAUGAGAGUGGCGUACGGGUGCGUUACCCGUAAUGCAACCUACCUUCAUCAGGGGGAUAGCCCGAAGAAAUUCGGAUUAACACCGCAUAAAAACACAACCUGGCAUCAGGAAAUGUUCAAAUAUUUAUAGGAUGAAGAUGGGCAUGCGUGUCAUUAGCUAGUUGGUGAGGUAACGGCUCACCAAGGCGACGAUGACUAGGGGAUCUGAGAGGAUGACCCCCCACACUGGUACUGAGACACGGACCAGACUCCUACGGGAGGCAGCAGUAAGGAAUAUUGGUCAAUGGACGCAAGUCUGAACCAGCCAUGCCGCGUGCAGGAUGAAGGCCCUCUGGGUUGUAAACUGCUUUU
rnacentral:rRNA from 1 species